rnacentral:other from 1 species
UUUACCCUGCGAUGUUCGAGAUUGAGGUGACGUCCCCGAACCGAUAGUUGACGAAAUAAAGGAGGCUUGGUUGGUGCGGAGAAUGACAGGCCUUUAUUGGAAGUCAGAUUCCGCAGCGACGGUCAUCCGCCGUUUACCGAAAGGGAACGGGAGAUUCAUCUAAACGGCACCUGUGGGGUAAAA